rnacentral:lncRNA from 10 species
AAAAAAAAAAAAAAAAAAAAAAGGCAAAAGUAUCAGUUUCCUCCUUUUAGACCAAAGCUUUCCUUUCCAAAUAUUUGUUGAUCAGUUUUUUCUGCUCAUAAAAAUCACACAGACGGCAGGGCAUGGUGGCGCAUGCCUGUAAUCCCAGCACUUUGGGAGGUCGAGGCAGGCAGAUCACUUGAGGUCAGGAGUUUGAGACCAGCCUGGCUAACAUGGUGAAAUCCCAUCUCUACCAAAAAUACAAAAAUUAGCUGGGUGUGGUGGCACAUGCCUUUAAUCACAGCUACUCAGGAGGCUGAGGCAUAAGAAUCGUUUGAAUCCAGGAGGCAGAGGUUGCAGUGAGCCGAGAUCGUGCCACUGCACUCCAG